GAUGAACGCUGGCGGCGUGCCUAAUACAUGCAAGUCGAGCGAACAGACGAGGAGCUUGCUCCUCUGACGUUAGCGGCGGACGGGUGAGUAACACGUGGAUAACCUACCUAUAAGACUGGGAUAACUUCGGGAAACCGGAGCUAAUACCGGAUAAUAUAUUGAACCGCAUGGUUCAAUAGUGAAAGACGGUUUUGCUGUCACUUAUAGAUGGAUCCGCGCCGCAUUAGCUAGUUGGUAAGGUAACGGCUUACCAAGGCAACGAUGCGUAGCCGACCUGAGAGGGUGAUCGGCCACACUGGAACUGAGACACGGUCUAGACUCCUACGGGAGGCAGCAGUAGGGAAUCUUCCGCAAUGGGCGAAAGCCUGACGGAGCAACGCCGCGUGAGUGAUGAAGGUCUUCGGAUCGUAAAACUCUGUUAUUAGGGAAGAACAAAUGUGUAAGUAACUAUGCACGUCUUGACGGUACCUAAUCAGAAAGCCACGGCUAGCUACGUG
rnacentral:rRNA from 1 species